rnacentral:tRNA from 1 species
GGGCAAUUAGCUCAGCCGGCUAGAGCGCAGCAUUCACAUUGCUGAGGUCAUAGGUUCGAAUCCUAUAUUGCCCACCA